rnacentral:rRNA from 1 species
GACGUAGGGUGCGAACGUUGUCCGGAUUUAUUGGGCGUAAAGAGCUCGUAGGCGGCUUGUCGCGUCGACCGUGAAAACUUGGGGCUCAACCCCAAGCCUGCGGUCGAUACGGGCAGGCUAGAGUUCGGUAGGGGAGACUGGAAUUCCUGGUGUAGCGGUGAAAUGCGCAGAUAUCAGGAGGAACACCGGUGGCGAAGGCGGGUCUCUGGGCCGAUACUGACGCUGAGGAGCGAAAGCGUGGGGAGCGAACAGG